AGAGUUUGAUCAUGGCUCAGGAUGAACGCUAGCUACAGGCUUAACACAUGCAAGUCGAGGGGCAGCAUGAUCUUAGCUUGCUAAGAUUGAUGGCGACCGGCGCACGGGUGAGUAACGCGUAUCCAACCUUCCCUGUACUAGGGGAUAGCCCGGCGAAAGUCGGAUUAAUACCCUAUGUUUUCCGAAGCGAGCAUUUAAUUUGGAACAAAGGUUUACCGGUAUAGGAUGGGGAUGCGUCUGAUUAGGUAGUAGGCGGGGUAACGGCCCACCUAGCCGACGAUCAGUAGGGGUUCUGAGAGGAAGGUCCCCCACAUUGGAACUGAGACACGGUCCAAACUCCUACGGGAGGCAGCAGUGAGGAAUAUUGGUCAAUGGGCGAGAGCCUGAACCAGCCAAGUAGCCGUGCAGGAUGACGGCCCUAUGGGUUGUAAACUGCUUUUAUAUAGGGAUAAAGUGAGGGACGUGUCCCUUAUUGUAGGUACUAUAUGAAUAAGGACCGGCUAAUUCCGUGCCAGCCGCGGC
rnacentral:rRNA from 1 species